UCUCUCUCAAGCAACGAAGACUUCGAAAAGAAAAAAGUAACGAAGACAGCCACAAGAGUAGGGUUCCAUUGCAAAUACAGGGAAACUUCUCUUACCAAAUAAAUAAAUAAAAACUUCUUUUGCUGUGUCUAGCGAGUGGCUUCUGCUCUUCCUCUCUGCAAUACACCUUGCUUCCUUUCACUACCGACACUUACAUUGUAUAUUCAAUAUCCACUGUAUAUUCAAUAUCCUUCUAUUGUAUUAUCCCAUUUAUUUCACCAACUCCCUCUAACAAACAGAGUGAGCUACUACCCAAAAAGUACAGAUAUUGGGAUCUAAACUUCGCUUGUUUGGCUUCUUGUGGACAGUGGAUUGCAUGGUGCGACAUUAUUUUUGUACAAUUGGGCGGUUACCACUGCAGUGCUUUAAAGAUUUGAGUCUCUAUUUUUUAUAAAUAACGAGUCUUUAUUCGGAAUUUGGGGAAUUCAAGAUCUGGGUGGGUUUUGUAUUGAUCGGAAAUGGGUAGCUCUGGGGAGAAGGUUGUGGCUGUGAUUAUGGUCGGUGGACCAACUAAAGGGACUCGAUUCCGGCCAUUGUCAUUGAAUGUCGCCAAGCCUCUUUUUCCUUUAGCUGGACAACCAAUGGUUCACCAUCCAAUAUCUGCUUGCAAAAGGAUUCCGAACCUAGCACAGAUCUAUCUUGUCGGUUUCUAUGAGGAACGGGAAUUUGCAUUGUAUGUUUCAUCAAUCUCGAACGAGCUUAAGGUCCCUGUGAGAUAUCUGAGGGAGGAAAAGCCACAUGGUUCAGCUGGUGGGCUUUAUAACUUCAGAGACCGAAUCAUGGAAGACAGUCCGUCUCAUAUAUUCUUGUUGAACUGUGAUGUUUGCUGCAGUUUUCCACUCCAAGAAAUGCUUGAGGCUCAUAGAAGAUAUGGUGGGAUGGGAACCAUUCUAGUAAUCAAGGUUUCUGCUGAGUCAGCCAGCCAGUUUGGUGAAUUGGUAGCUGAUCCAGACACCAAAGAAUUGUUGCAUUACACAGAGAAACCAGAAACUUUUGUAAGUGACCUGAUAAAUUGCGGUGUGUAUGUGUUUACACCAGAUAUAUUUACAGCCAUCCAGGGUGUUUCUUCUCAAAGGAAAGACAGAGCUAAUCUUAGACGUGUUUCCAGCUUUGAAGCACUUCAAUCAGCCACAAGGAGCCUUCCCACAGAUUUUGUGAGACUGGAUCAAGAUAUCCUGUCACCGCUUGCAGGGAAAAAGCAGCUAUAUACAUAUGAAACAAUGGAUUUCUGGGAGCAAAUUAAAACUCCUGGAAUGUCCCUAAAAUGUUCUGCUUUAUAUCUUGCUCAAUUCCGGUACACCUCCCCACAUCUUUUGGCUAGUGGAGAUGGCUCAAAGAGUGCUACCAUAAUUGGUGAUGUUUUUAUUCACCCAUCCGCUAAAGUACAUCCAACUGCUAAGAUUGGUCCCAACGUCUCAAUAUCUGCUAAUGCCCGUAUAGGACCAGGUGCAAGGCUCAUCAGUUGUAUCAUCCUAGAUGAUGUUGAAGUCAUGGAAAAUGCAGUGGUUAUUCAUGCAAUUGUCGGGUGGAAGUCUUCCAUUGGGAGAUGGUCCCGGGUACAGGCAAGUUAGCUUUCUCGUGACACCACUAAGUGAUUGACUAUUGACCAUUGCUUAUGCUACCCAAAAUUUCCAAGUGAUCGACUGCUGACCAUCAUAUAUAAAUACCAAUUCCAAAAAUUCCUACUUAUGACCAUGCAAGUAUGUAACAAAGGAAUGACAUUGGCAAGAAUAAAUUGCAUGAAGGGAUGCUUCUCAAAGUCUGUGCCACAAAUUGUAAUGUUGAGUAUCAGCAUGACAACUAUAAUGUGUUUUGGAUUACCAUUGGGCUAAAAGCUGCAGGAGAUUUCAAUGCCAAACUUGGGAUUACUAUUCUUGGUGAAGCUGUUAGUGUUGAAGAUGAAGUUGUGGUGGUUAAUAGCAUUGUCCUUCCAAACAAGACACUCAAUGUUAGUGUUCAGGAGGAAAUAAUCUUGUAGUGGACGUGGAUAUAGAUC